AGUUUACGUUCCCCACUUUCUUGACCUUCAUAGGAAUGGGAGAGAGGCAAGCGCUCGCGCAGCAGCUGGAGCACAAGCACAGGGAUGUGAGGUCUGCGUUUUUGUGGCAAUUGAUGAUGGGCUGUAUGACAUUGGAAUGAAUCAAAGCGGCAAGUUGGUUUCUCAUUGACUUCUUUGCUCAGGAGUUUUCAACUGGCUCCGCUUUUAGAUGCCAAAUUGCUCGCGCCGCAUCUGUGAGGAACAAUGAUGUUGAAUAUUGCAGCAACAGCAGUGGCAGAGGAGCUCCAUGCA
rnacentral:lncRNA from 1 species